AUUUAUUUAGUAUAUAAAGUACUUUUGAUUUCCAAUCAAAUAGUCUAAUAAUUUAGAAUAAAUA
rnacentral:tRNA from 1 species